UCUGGGCAACUUCGCUUUCUUUUCGCUCAAAAUAUACGAUUGACGAGGAAAUGGAGACAGAGACCAGUAAGAGUAAACAUUGACGAAAAGAAGAUGGAGACCGGUAAGAGUAACGACGACAUUGACAAUCUCAAGUCUUGCCAAAUCAGUUCAGUGUGCUUGCAGAGUUGCAGAGAUGGAUGAGGCAAUUGGUCGUAUUUUAAAGAGUUACCAUUCCAUUCUCUAAGCCUCCUCGCUAGUGCCGUCUCAAUCCCCUCCGUUCGUCUCCUUCUUCAGCAACACCGUUGAUCCGAGCGUUUUUUAUGACUGGCGAGUGAAGAGUACUCGAAGAAAUCAAAUCUAAACUCCAUUGAUUUAAUCUUCUCUCUUCUCAAUUUCUCAUCUCUUCCCAUGUACAAUUUUUCUAUUCAUUCAAAGCGAGGUAAAUCUGGUAUUUAGAUGCAUAAUGUUGGUUUUAUGU